UCACCGCCCCGGGGAGCGGGAGGGGGCUCGCGAGAAGGUCGCGAGCUCGCAGACGGCCUGCGCCCGCCCGUGCGAGCCGGCCGGCCCGCCUUGGGGCGAGAAGGGAGCCGCUCUCUCCGCAGACCUCGCCAGAUGCGGCCAUUGUUAAGUCAGCCGGCUGUCAGCGCGCGAGGACCCCGGGGCACGAGCAACGCCCCCUCCCCGCCUGGCCUGUGCGCGGCCCCCACCGCAGGUGGAGGGGAGGCCGGGGCACCCGACCCCCGUGAGUCCUACAGCGGCAGGCCCGGCCCCGCAGCAGUGGUCCAUUCUCCCUGCCCUUCCCCCUGGAAGUGGGGCCGUCUUUCGACUUCUGGCGACCUACGACUCAUCCGUGUGUGCCAGGCGCUGAGGCCCUGCCCUGCCCGCCCUGUGGAGCCUACACCCUGGUUCUGGGCAGCACACAAGAGCAAGGCACGGAAUAAAUGCACGCAUUUCUGCAGGACGUGGUCCAAGGUGCUGGAAACUUCCUAGCAAGACAUUCGCCAGCCUUGGGACCUCAAGGCUGAACAGACUUUGCAGAGCCACUCGAGGGAGAGAAGGAAAAUGUGCUUCCCACUCCCUGACCCCUCUCCACGCCUUGGGCAAAAUUUCCCAGAGCCACCACGGUGUUCUUGGUCAGUGAAGGGAGGAGCAGGCACCCAGGUGGCAGUCCCAGGCAGUUGAAAAUCCACAUAGGCAGGAGGGGUGAGGCUGGUCCCCGCUGGGUCUCCCUGCCUCACUUCCCCGGUACAGUCUACUGUCUACAAGUAACCACGUCAAUCCUUGUUCACUCUGACCUCACCUUUUCAAGUCAUUCCAGGGAAGUAGCCACAUUCCAAAAGCUACGAUAGGAGAAAGGAAAAUAAUAUGGAAAUCAGGGCAAGUCAACACGUUUGCCUCCUAUUGGUUAAUUAGGUUCCUUGGAGCAGAAAGAUCUUGGGACCUUAUGGCGCUGAGGUUCCUCCAGGGCAGCCCCACCAGGAUGUGAAACCUCCAAGCUGUGGUGUCAAGCUGACCUUCGUUCCAGUCCCAGCUCUGGCCAGCUCUGUGACCUUGGCCCUUCACCCAACCGUUCCAAGCCUCAGUUUCCUCAUCUAUAAAAGGAAACCAGGAAUCCUGCUCCCGGCAGCUAGCAGAGAUGCUAACCGGCCCUGGACAGCUGGGGAAAUUGAACCACAAGUCACGAUCGAGGUCCCCCAGCUCCUGACCGCCUUCUCGUCCCUUUUUUGCUCUGCCGUUUGCUGUUUAAUGUGUGUACUGGACAGCGUAUGGAUUAGGGUGUCCUUGUAAUAGACGGAAAAGAACAAGCAGAGACUCCCGGUGGAGAAGGCCGUGUAAAGACAGAAGCAGAGAUUUGGAGCCAGGGGUCGCCUGGAGUCACCAGGAGCUAGAAGAGGCAGGAAAGAUCUUCCCCUGCAGUCUCUGGAGGGAGUGUAGCCGUGGGACACCUUGACUUUGGACCUCUGAUUGCGGGAGAACACUUCCGUCGUGUUAAGCCCCAAGCUGUUUGCUGUGGCCACUCCAGGACAGUCUUACAAGUCUCAUUUCCCCUCAUCCGUACUCCAGCUCAGUUUAAUCCAGCUCAGUGGAUAAUAAACCACUACCCUGCGGGAGCACACCCCACAAAAGGUUUGGGGGCCUCCAAGAAGAAUGACACCCAGCUCCUCGACUUUAAGGAACAGACGCCUGGACUCCUGUUCUGGAAGCCGAUGGCCGCCCAUCUGUGGGAGCUUUCUAUCAGCACACAGUUCCCUUCCCCAGGAAACAGCCAGGAGCCUCCUGGAGACUAAAGUGGACGGUGACCUGCCAGUCCCUCUGAAUGCUAGAAAUGCUGUCUCUUGGGGCUGGCCUUGCGGCUGUGGUUUUCUCAGCCAGCUGCUGCCCAGGGCUCCUUCCCUAAAACAGCCUCCAGCCCCAAGCUGUUUGGAGCUGGUCCCUUUCCCUGACUUCAGAUGGAAAGGUCAUCGUGGGCCCAGGGCCAUGCAAGUUUAUACGCGUUGGAACCAGAUUCUGACCUGAGUCAGUUGCCCAGAAUCUGCCCCUCCCGGAGGAAAGCGUAAAGAAGGCAGUUCUGCUUAUCCUGGACCUUGCACCGGGCUGAAACCCGACCUGCCUCCUCCAGAUCCCCCACGUGUUUCCGGGAAGUACGAGCAGGGCUAAAGCGGAGGAACUGGAUUGCUUCCCAGUGCCAUCCCGAUCAAGGCUUCACCGCCUGGCUUGAAGUCUCAAGAUACAGACCACACCCAGACUCAAGUCGGGCUGAAAAACACAUUUCGAGGGCAGGGACAGCUUUCCACGUGGACAUCUGUACGGAACUCUCAGAACCAUCCCUGGCUGUGAAAUACGGGCUGCACCGGCCACCCUGCGUUCCCGGCCAUCAGCUUCCCCAGCAGCCUUUCUGUUUGUUUGGAACAGUUUCUCGGGGUCUCCUAGAGAGAAGAUUCUCAGCUGAGUUCCGGCAAACGGCCACGCUACCCCACCCCCUGCUUGGAGGGAUCCCAGCAGCUCCCUUGGCUGCCCAGCGAAGAAGAAGAAAUGAUGUCAGGAGUGUUUCUCUCUUGAGGAAGCUGGAGACUCCUUGCAGCAGGACGAGAGGACACUAUCAAAGGGGAUGUAGGGGGGCUUGCCAAAGCAUCCUUGCACGGUGCCGUGGAAACAUCCGUUUCCUCUGUCUGCCUGGAGAGGGGCUGGGUCAGCUGGGCUGGUGGUCUCAGUCUUGGUUCUCUCAGCCUGAUUGUGCUCAUUUAUGUCACAAAACACGCACGUGGCUCAGGACCAAGGGGGCUGGGAGCCCCAGCUCUAGACUUUGGGUAGACACGAGGGGCCCUUUCUAGGCUCCACAUCAAGGCUUCCCCUCCUGGCGAGCACAGAGGUGGCGCUGUCCUUCGAUGCCCUGUGGCACUGACAAGCAGGGCCCAUGGUGAGCUUAGUGUCCACAGAAGACGCUGAAGGGCCUCCGCUCUGGAAUCGUGUGACCGGAGCUUGAAUCCGGGCUCCAUCGCAUAGAGGCUGUGCGGCCUCAGGAAAACUGCCCAGUCGGAGUCUCGGUUUCCCAACCAGCAGAACGGUGGUGGCAAGGUUCCUGCCUCCACAGGUGGUCGUGAGAGCAGAAAGGGUCCCAGUUGGAGGGCGUUCCGCACAGGUCAGUCCGGACACACGGAGGGGAGAUCGGAAGCAGGAGCCACCGCUAUUUCAGUCACCUGACUAUGAAAUCGAAAGAUCGGACAGUACAGAAAACGUCAAGGGAGAAGAAACCCCAAAGUGUUCACAGCCCCAGUCCCCGGAGACACGCGCUGCUAGCUUUCGUUAGGUGUCCCUCCAGCCUGUUUCUACGUGUGCGUGUGUGUUUCGUGGGCUCAGAUCACUGCUGAAUGAGCACAGCCUGUGUCUGUAUAUGCGUGCUAGUUUUUCUUAAGACCCGGCAUGAUGUUGCUUAACCCACUUCUUUUAAACUUAAAAACGUAUCAAGACCAUUUCCUGCAAAUCAUUACAUUUUACCAUGUUGCAUAUUUUCCCACACUUUGAUGUUUCUGAAAUAGGGAUGUGUUUUAGAAUCGUUGUCAAAAGAAACAUCCCAGCUACUUCUCUCUUUUUCUCCCCUGAAGGGGGUUAUGAGAUAGGCGAUCCGUGUGACAAAUGACAGCGUCUCAGACUCCAAAAAGCAUGGCGUUCUGAAAGAUGCCUUCUUACAGGCCACGUGGUUCUCUUUGGUGCCUUUGCCAUAAUUAACUUAAUUGACCUCCAGUUUUGGACAUUUUAGCUCCUUCUGGUUUCCUGCCAUUAUCAACAAUGCUGCAAAAGAGAACGUACGGCAGGAAAUCCAUUCAAGUGGGUCACUGACCCUACAGGGCAGAAGCUGGAUGGAGAGGUCAAGGUCACAGCCAGCCUCCAGUGACCUUCUAGGGAGGAAGGUCGGAGACGAGUGGCUCCUUCGUGGCCGGGGUGCGGAGAGGCCCCGGGUCAGAGGGGUGAUGCCCCGCGCAGCCGUCCCGUUGACUCGCCGCGCUGGCUUUGGGCUGGGGCUUUCCCUUCCCCACGCGGAACAGAAGGCUCAGAGAGAGGCCCCUUGUCAGCGCCAGGCACAGCUCGCUCAGAGUCCACGUGCUCCGAGGCAAGAGAGGAGAGGCUUUCUCCUUUUCUGGAGUUCCGUCUCAUGCCUACGUUUCGGGUAGGAUGCUAUUUUUAAGCGCCUGGCACAGUGGAUUUGUACACCCCAGGGGAGGAGGGGGACUCGACGCAGGGCAGGGCUGGGCAGGCAGCAGGCAUGGGCGCGGGCAGGGGGGCUGCAUUUGCUCUGCUCUAACAAUGAGCCGCGGCGGCUGUCACACCCACAGCCGGCAUUAAUCACUUCCUGCCUUGCCUUCCCCAGCAGCUCUGACACAGGAGGCCACGCCCCGCUUCUGGAAAGCGCCCCGCUCAGACUGUGAGGGUGCUUCCAGGCCACGCUUGCUUCCUUCGUCGGGUCCGUGCCCCACCCCCCCACGUGUCCCUUUUGCCCGGCUCUGGAGACCGCAUGGGCUCCGGCCACCACCACAAGCGGGUAAAGCGUUUUGCAGGCUUUGAGGCGAGGCUGCACCCGCUCGGAACGUUGGCAGUUGUGUGGAGCAGGCCACGCGGGGCUGGGCGUGAUGCCCAGCUGGGUCAGUCUGUCACCCAGGGUUUUGGGGUUGCGAGCAACAGAAAUCGACUCUUGCUGGCCGGGGUUCAGGGGAGGGGGUUACUGGGUGGAGACGGGCUAGUUUACAGAACAGAAGGGGAAGGUGGAUGAUGGAUUAAGGCUCAGACAGGAGCCGCACAGCGCCCAGGAUCCAGGAGUGAGAUCAAUAACCGCCUGGGGGGAGAGGAGGUCAGGGUGCGGUGCGGGCCCGUUUGCUCCAUUUUGCACAUGAGCGACUGAGAGCUGGAAAGGAAGGGACUUGCACAGGGCCAGGUGGCUCGCUGGAGGCACAGCCAGUCCUGUGUAGCGGGACCAGGUCCAUGAAGACGAGGGCCCCCGCCAGGGCCCACCCUGGAAAGCUCGCGGGUGUCACAGCAGGAGCUCCUAUCCUGGGGCUCCUUCACCUCCCAGAUCUUGACCCCUCAGGCCACACAUUGCUUAUUUUGGAUUGGCAGGCAGCCCACGCCCGAGGCGGAAGGAGGGGGGUUGCUCAGGCAGGACCGGGGUGUGACUCACUUCUGUCUGCCCAGCCAAGUACCAAACAGAGAGGCUGGCAAACAGGAGCCAGUCCACAGCCACUAACCAGCAACCGAAACCCUGCUCAGAGUGGCCAGGCCUCGACUUACACAGAGGUCACCAAAGGAUGGCCUUGGCAGGACGCCAGUCCUUGCCUCUCUGCUGACCACCCUCGAGCCCAGUCGCCAGCAUCUGCUGCCGUGAUGGGCCCCUCCCCUCCUUGUUCUGGCCACGGGACAGGCUCGAUGGCCUUCCCUCCCCACACAGAGUCAAGCAUGCGGUCCACCUCGCCUAGAAGGCCCUGCCCCGGUUUCCUCCCAGCCCCACCAGCUUGGCAUGAAAGAAUUCGGGCUCUGCAGUCAGAAAACCACAUGUCUGUCUUCACAGCUUCCUGGUGUGGAUCUUGGGCAAGUUGUGUGGCUUCUCUCUGCCUCAGUUUCCUCCUUUGUAACACGAGCCCUCCCUUGCAGGAUUCCUGUAAAGAUUGGGAGUAAGGUGGGCGAACACCAGUGCUUGGCACAGGAUAGACGCCGGCUACAGUGCUCACUCUCCGCCCGAGGCCUGGCAUCUCCCUGCAGGACCGACCAGCCUGGAGGAAUGUUCCAGGCCCCGGGGUUGCUCUCUCUUGUGCUGACAGUCACCUUGAUCUGGGUCAUUUGGAUAGCACUUUCCAGAUGCUAGCCUGCAUUGCACUCGUGGCAAAAGGGAACAUUUUGGCUGCUUAAACCCAAGCCAAACAAAAAAACUGACUGUCAUCAUUCUUGCCCUCUAAGGGGAGUGGCAAAUUCGUACUGGGGAUGCUGGCCUGGGGACUUUGGUUAGCCAAGAGCAGAGGAAAACAUGUCAUUUCAAAGCACCAGCUAGUCCUUCAUGCUGCUGACGGCUGGAGUCCUGCCUUAGCCAAGCAUUUUAGUGCUUCCUGUCUGUAUGUUACUCGGUACUCUCUUGGCUGCAAGUGAUGGAGAUUCAGUGUGAAUCUCUAAAGCAAAAAUGAUGUUCAUUGGCUCACUGACUGGAAAAGACAAUCUCCCCGUGAGUCAAGCUUCAGGUACGGCUGGAUCCAGGGGCUCUCCUUCUCUCUGCUCUGCUUUGCUCUGUGUCGGCCUCGUUUUGUAGAUACCCAGGCACACAUCCCAUCCCACAUGCCCUCAUAAAAUGUGACAUUAAGGGCCCCCAGGUGGCUCAGUGGGUUAAGCAGUUAAGCGUCCAACUUCAGCUCAGGUCAUGAUCUCACAGUUUGUGAGUACAAGCCUCUCGUCGGGCUCUCUGCUGUCAGCAUGGAGCCUGCUUGGGAUUCUCUGUCUCCCUCUCUCUCUGCCCCUCCCCCGCUCACUCUCUGUCUCAUUCUCUCCCUCAAAAAUAAAUAAACAUUUAAAAAAUAAGUAAAAUAAAAUGUGACGUUAACACACUUCCAGCAGGAGGUAGGGUUUGUGGUCUCUCCUCUUGACCUUGAACUUCCCUUUGAACUUCCACAACCAGUAGAAAGUGGUGGAAGUUACAUGUGAUUCCAGAGACUAGGUCUUAAGAGGCAUGUAGCUUCCAGCUGCCUUGCUCUCUUUGGGGACACUCGCCCUUGGCAAGCAGCAACCAUGCUGUACGGAAGCCUGUACCAGGCUGGCUUUCGAGGGGAGACCACAGAAAGAGGCCCGUGUGGAAAAGGACCUGAGGGCCCCGCCGACAGGAGCUAGGCUGGGCCUGCAGUUAACUCCGGACUCCAGCUUUUGAGACUUGCAGUCGAGGCCCCGGACGUUGUGGAGAAGCAAGGUCCACACCGUGUUUAGUCUUGACCCACCAAAUCCAUAAGUGUAGUAAACGGUUGACUUCUGUCAGUAGGUCUAGGGUAUUUUGUUGCAUCGCCGUAGCAGCUGCAGUAGAUUUCAUGAUCCCUACAGCUCAAACUCUCAGCUGAGGAGUGCCAGAUCUGCCCUCCGCCAACACCCAGCAUCCGUUCGUAGUCAAGAUGCAGAUUAAUUCCGCUCGGGCACGAGUCUUCUCUCUAUGUGGUUGUUGUGGCCGGAGGGGUGAGGAGUCCUGGUUGCUUAGGCUCAGUCGCGAGCCACGCUCCGGCCUGGCGAAGGAUGGGUACAAAGAUGGCCUGGUCAGGACCACCGGGAGUGGGCCAGCGGUGGCUCAGGAAGGAAAAUUGGGAUGCGGCCAUUGGAUGAAACAGGGAACCGUUCUGGAAUAUACAGGCAGGUCCGCAGCUCCCUUAUGAAUUGCUCUCCUUACCAAGAAAGCGAUUUCUUUGUUAAGGUGUAUGUGGCGGGUCGCUGGGGAGAGGAACCCAGAAAAAAGAGUUUUUCCUACCAUACUUUGGUAGGAUUUGGAGAAAGCAGAACGCCAAGAUAUGCGAACUGAUACCUGAGGUACCUGUGUCUCACCUGCGUGAGGACCUGACUUUUUCCAGGGCCUGCUCUGUGCUUAGCAUUGUGUUUGGUGUUUUGUCUACACACUCGCUUAGUGAGCACAAAAGUCCUGGAGGGCCAGGACUGAGCCUCCAGGACAGCAGCUGGCAUGUAAUGGCCUGUAGUAAUUAGGAUUGCCUCUUGGCUGCUAGAAUGGGGGCCAAAAUAGCGGCGGAUUAAACAAGGGAGAAGUUUUUUCCUUUCACAACUGCCCAAGACGAAACAAUUCAGGCUAAUAUGACAACUCUAGGUGAUGUUUUUAUCUUGUUGCUCUGUCGGGGCAACUGGCUGGCUCAGUCUGUAGAGCAUGCAACGCUUGAUCUCAGGGUUGUGACUUCGAGCCCCACGUUGGGUGUAGAGAUCACUUAAAAAUAAAAUCUCAGGGGCAUCCAGGUGGCUCAGUCGGAGAAGCGUCCGACCUCAGCUCAGGUCAUGAUCUCGCGGUCAGUGAGUUCAGGCCCUGCGUCGGGCUCUGUGCUGAUGGCUCAGAGCCUGGAGCUGCUUCAGAUUCUGCAUCUCCCUGUCUCUCUGCCCCUCCCCCACUCGCACUCUGUCUCUUUCUCUCUCUCUCUCUCUCUCAAAACUAAAUGAACAUUAAAAAAAAUUUUUUUAAAUAAAAUCUUAAAAAAGAAAAGUCAUUAUCUUGUUUCUCUGCCAACCCCAAUAUGUAGUUUCUAUGCUGAGAUCUAAGCCAGCUGCUCCAGCUCCUGCCAGUGCGCCUGCAUUCCAGCCAGGGCAAAGAGGGAAGAAACGGGACGUAAAGGGCACCCCCUCUUCCUUGUAAGGACAAGGUCCAGAAGGUUUACUCAUGUCUUCUGCUUAUAUCCCAUUGGCCGGAACUUAGUCACAUGGCCCCAGCUAGCUGCUAGGGAGGCUGGGAAAUGUAGUUCUUAGCCAGUGACCAUGUGCCCACUGAAACUCAAGGUUUGUAGUGCUAAAGAAGAGAGAGAAUGGCUACUGAGUGAUAGCCAGGAGACUCAGCCUAAGACACUCAGCUGUAGAGCUGGUAGUAUUCCCUGUGGGAGAUGCAGUGUGGCCGGAGAGCCAACCUUCCAACGGCUUUCAUCUUGGCUCUGCUCUUUACUAGUGGUGUGACCUUAGUCGCGAUUGUCUCAGCCAUAAAGUAGGGGCGACAA